rnacentral:rRNA from 1 species
UACGUAGGGUGCAAGCAUUGUCCGGAUUUGUUGGGCGUAAAGAGCUCGUAGGCGGCUUGUAACGUCGGAUGUGAAAACUCGGGGCUCAACCCCGAGCCUGCAUUCGAUACGGGCUAGCUAGAGUGUUGCAGGGGAGACUGGAAUUCCUGGUGUAGCUGUGAAAUGCGCAGAUAUCAGGAGGAACACCGGUGGCGAAGGCGGGUCUCUGGGCAACUACUGACGCUGAGGAGCGAAAGCGUGGGGAGCGAACAGG